GAGGAGCAGUGGGAAACUUAUCUCUAUUGUGCUCUGCCAAUCAAAGGGGAAGCAAAAUCAAAAUAAAAAAACGAUUAAGUCACAGACAAAAUAAAUACAAGCUCUGAAAUCCUGGAAUUAACGUGAACCGAAGCUCACUUGGGCUUUACCCUGCAACAGUGUUGGAAAUAGUGAGGAGAAAAACUGCUUUAAGCAUGUGGAAAGCAGUUGCCUCUUUCUCACUGGCCAUUGAAUAAACCGUAGGCAGCUCUUCCUCAUCGGGGAUUAAGAGGAAAGGCUUCCAGGGCAAGAGGAUGCGGCUUCUAGGCAAGGCUGGGGAGCCCUUUCCACAAGGGGAACAACAUUUGCUCCCGCGCUGCAAACUUUUCUUUCUGGACAGACCUGCCGGCCCAAAGGAGGCCGAUUUCUCUCCCCCCCCCCCAAUGAAAAUACUCUUUCCCCUCCUCUGCCUCCAAGAGGCUUGGCCGCUCCAAGUUCCUUGGAGGCCCAUCUCUGGCUGUUCCUAAUUCCUGAGGCGGCGAUGGGGGGGGGGGCGGAAUACAGUGUGGGGGGAAAUACGUGUACGCCACAACCUCAACCCCCCCCCUACAAUCCCCGCCAGCCAGCCAGCCCCCGCCUACGUCCUUCUUCCCUCACUCGGUGUCUCUCCCUUUCUUGCCUCGGGCCAGGCAGGAAUGCGAACAAUUCCGGCCCGAACUUUGAGGCUUCCUUAUGAGAGAAGCGGAGAUAGAGAGUCGUCGUUGCCGUCGUCCGUCCCCCCACGGGAAGGGAAAGAGAGCCAACUCCGGAGGCUCACAAUGGAAAGCCGCUGCCACGAAACUCGCCGGCUCCCCCCCCCCCCGUGGAGAGUUUGCCCGCUUUCCUUUCCCUCCUCACGGGAACUCAAACAACAACAACAACGGCCCACCCGCCACACAAAAAGCACCUCCGAACUUAUUACCUGAGGUCUUCUUUCCCCCUCUUAGGCUGGAUACUGAAGGUCAUUUCUGUUAACUUGCAAUAGAAGUUAUUACUGUAGCACAAAUUCUGAUACUUGUACAUACACAAUGGGGAAAGAGGAACUUUGCAGCCUGUAGAAAAAACAUGAAGUCAUCUUGUGCCGUGCUCUUCUUGAAUAAAAAUGAUCACCACCAGAAUAGAACUGGGUCUAGUUUACAGGUAAUUUCCAAGCAAAUAAUCAACAUUGACAGAAGAGGCCUACCAAAAUUGAUCCAAAUACAAACUCUGACGCUUCAAGUUUUGACUCUGCAUUUAAACUGACAGCCAGCUGGUGAACUGUAACCAGGUGAACUUUGUGAACUUCCCACCAGAAGUUGUACACCAGGCAUCUUUUCCUCCCAUGUGUCUCCCUUUCUCCCUGCCCCAGACUGUACACAAGAGUCUGAAAGCCUUGAAUCUCUUUAACAGGCCUAAUAUGUGCUGCAUGGGGACAGGAUGGCAAAUCCUAAAUCACAAAGUGCAGCGAAGAACAUAAUCUAAAUCUGCAUUUUGUUUUCCUCACAUACAAACCAGGGGAAAACAAUAAAAAGGGCAUGGUGGCAGGAGUCAGAAGGGUGGGAGAAGGGAAUUUCCUCCACAUUCUAAAUGUUAAAAAUGUUGUGUAGCUUUGCAUUUACAGAAUAAUGUAUAAACUGGUCCAUUAUUAGUUUCGAACAGAGAGGCAGUGAGAGAUUCCAAGAUGAUUCCAGGCGGUAUAUAUUAAAGUGCUCAGGGGUACAGACUUUCCUCAGGGAUAUUCCAGGCUGUUUUCUGAAUGUUGAACUUUUACUAAAGGAAAUAUAAAGAAAGUAUUGGCAAUAUUCUCUCCCCCAAUUGCUCAUUAAAGAAUAAAAUGUUUCCACCUUCCCAUGUUCCAGCCGUUGAGCUCAAUGACCCUGGGAUAACUGACAAACAUGGCUGCCUCAUUUCUUUUUUAAAAAAAACAUGCCACUUUAAUUGUAUUUUAUUUUACUUGUAUUUAUUAACAUGCUAGGCUACCUAUAUGUUCUGGCUGCUCUGCAGUGUUUCUCUGAUCUCCUAAAACAGGCUUCUUCAACCUCGGCCCUCCAGAUGUUUUUGGCCUACAACUCCCAUGAUCCCUAGCUAGCAGGACCAGUGGUCAGCGAUGAUGGGAAUUGUAGUCUCAAAACAUCUGGAGGGCCAAAGCUGAGGAAGCCUGUCCUAAAGUCUCACAAUAAAAUGUCUGGCAACAGAUUUGGUUCUUUGUUGUUCUUUGAAUGUAUUAAUCAAGGAUACCACUGACUGGUUGAUUUUUAAAAUUUCAUGGGCACAGCAUAAAAAAACCAUCUAAAAAGUUAUGGAAAUCUAAAAGACUUCCUGAUGAGUUUUACCGCUCAGUGUGCCUGGAAUACAACCUUUGUAAAGCCUUGAUGUGAGGAAGAAAUAUGCCUGAAAGAUGUUGCUUCAAAUAUCAUUCUUUUCUGAUUCCCUGAAUGCAUGUAUAUAUGAAGUUAAAAAGAUGUAUGUGCUGUUGUCAUACAGGAAGUGAUUUUGGUUAAGAAAAAGGCUUACGUUUUGAAGUGGUACCAGGUUUCAGUGGUAGAUAGGCUUAGUAAAUUGUAAGCCAAAGAAAACUUCUCUUCGGUAUAGAAUUAGACCACAAUUUCUGUAAGCUUAAACUAGGUCUCUAAUUAUAGAUUACACUCUUAGUCAAGCCUGAAGGUUAUAAUUUAAAACUGUCAUAGCAACUAUAGUUCAAGUUACACAAAAUCCUGUCAUGGGGACUUAGUAGAAGCAUGAGAAAGAAACCUUUAAAAUGUAGUCAUGUGUCUUUUUAAUGGGAUGGGAUGAAGCAAAGACAAACAGUAAACUCAAACAGAGGGAAGAAAAGGAGGCAACCUCCGCCUCUUCUUAACAGCAGAGCGCAAUUGUAUCAAGAACAGGAUGUGCAUUUAUUUAAAAGCAUUUCCCAACCGCUGUCCAAAACACACACUCAAAAAGGAAGAAUAGAUUUAUUAACAUAUGCAGUGUGGUAGUGAACUAGCUGAUUAUGUGCGAACUUCUAUGGAGUCUGGAAGUAUGUCCCAUAAAAAGUUUGGAAGAUGGUGGGUGAUAAAUAUGGAAAUAUAAGCUGCCAUAUGCAAAGUCAGACCAUUGGUUCAGCUGGCUCAGUAUUGUCCACACUGUGCGGCAGCUGCUCCACUGUGUGGGUUGCAGGCAAAUAUAUUUCCCUGCCCUAUCUGGAGAUGCCAUGGAUUAAAUUUGGGACAUCGUUAGUUAGUUAGUUAAUUUAUAUUCCUCACAUUCAGUAUGAGUUUAUGCUCUCAGGGCAGCAAAGAGAAUCAUAAGAAACAAAAGCUACCAUUUUUGAAAUGAAAUAGAUUGGAAAAUCAAACUGUUCUAAGUUAAAGAAUGCUUGCAUUCACAGUUCUUCAACUAGGAAAACAGAAAUGUUUUUGUCUGACAUUUAAAUGAUAGGCAGGCCUCUUUGGGGAGGGCAUUCUCAAGAUGAGGAGCCACUACAGAAAAGCCUCUCCAGUCACUGUCACCCACUGAACUUCAGAUCAGAGGCAUAGCGUGGGCAAGGGGGCUGUUGCCCCAUAUACAGCUUUUUUUGAGGCCACAUUUUGCUCCUCA